UGGGGGAUAUUGCACAAUGGGGGGAACCCGUGAUGCAGCGACGCCGCGUGGGUGAAGAAGCGCCUCGGCGCGUAAAGCCCUGUCAGCAGGGAAGAAAAUGACGGUACCUGAAGAAGAAGCCCGGCUAACUACGUGCC
rnacentral:rRNA from 1 species